GGGUGCGAUCAUACCAGUCCCUAAUGCACCGGAUCUCAUCAGAACUCUGCAGUGAAGCGUGCUUGGGCGUAGAGUAGUACUAGGUUGGGUGACCUCCUGGGGAAUCCGUCGUGUUGCACCCC
rfam:Corchorus capsularis cultivar CVL-1 contig04337, whole genome shotgun sequence.